rnacentral:rRNA from 1 species
AGAGUUUGAUCCUGGCUCAGAACGAACGCUGGCGGCGUGGAUUAGGCAUGCAAGUCGAACGAGAAGCUUUAAAUUGAAGCUUCGGCUGAUUUUUAAAGUGGAAAGUGGCGAAAGGGUGAGUAAUACAUGAGUAAUUUACCUUUAAACGGGGGAUAACUUCGAGAAAUCGUAGCUAAUACCGCAUAAGACCACAGUAACAUAAGUUACAGCGGUUAAAGGAGGCCUCUACUUGUAAGCCUUCGUUUUUAGAGAAGCUCAUGUCCUAUUAGUUUGUUGGUGAGGUAAUGGCUCACCAAGGCGAUGAUGGGUAGCCGGCCUGAGAGGGUGUCCGGCCACACUGGGACUGAGACACUGCCCAGACUCCUACGGGAGGCUGCAGUCGAGAAUCUUUCGCAAUGGACGAAAGUCUGACGAAGCGACGCCGCGUGAGCGAUGACGGCCUUCGGGUUGUAAAGCUCUGUCACGAGGGAAGAAAUGUAUAUUGGUUAAUACCCUUUAUAUUUGACGGUACCUCGAGAGGAAGCCCCGGCUAACUCCGUGCCAGCAGCCGCGGUAAUACGGAGGGGGCAAGCGUUGUUCGGAUUUACUGGGCGUAAAGGGCGUGUAGGUGGUUUUUUAAGUUGGAUGUGAAAUCCCUCGGCUCAACCGAGGAAUUGCAUUCAAUACUGAAAGACUAUAGUGUGAAAGGGGAAAGCGGAAUUUCUGGUGUAGCGGUGAAAUGCGUAGAUAUCAGAAGGAACGCCAGUGGCGAAAGCGGCUUUCUGGUUUAACACUGACACUGAGGCGCGAAAGCUAGGGGAGCGAACGGGAUUAGAUACCCCGGUAGUCCUAGCCGUAAACGAUGAACACUAGGUGUAGGGGGCCAUAAACCUUCUGUGCCGAAGCUAACGCAUUAAGUGUUCCGUCUGGGGAGUACGAUCGCAAGGUUGAAACUCAAAGGAGUUGACGGGGACCCGCACAAGCGGUGGAGCAUGUGGUUUAAUUCGAAGCAACGCGAAGAACCUUACCAGGACUUGACAUGUUUUUGACAGCUCAUGAAAGUGAGUCUUCCCUUCGGGGACAAUUACACAGGUGUUGCAUGGCUGUCGUCAGCUCGUGUCGUGAGAUGUUGGGUUAAGUCCCGCAACGAGCGCAACCCUCGCCUUUAGUUACCAGCAAGUAAUGUUGGGCACUCUAGAGGGACUGCCAGUGAUAAACUGGAGGAAGGUGGGGAUGACGUCAAGUCGUCACGGCCCUUACGUCCUGGGCUACACACGUGCUACAAUGGCUAGCACAAAGGGAUACCAAGCCGCGAGGUGGAGUAAAACUCAAAAAGCUAGUCUCAGUUCGGAUUGGAGUCUGAAAUUCGACUCCAUGAAGUUGGAAUCGCUAGUAAUUGCAGAUCAGCCACGCUGCAGUGAAUACGUUCCCGGGUCUUGUACACACCGCCCGUCAAGCCACCCGAGUUGAGUGCACCCGAAGUCGCUGUCUUAACCAUUUAUUUGGGGAGAGGCGCCGAAGGUGUGUUUGGUAAGGGGGACUAAGUCGUAACAAGGUA